rnacentral:rRNA from 1 species
AGAGUUUGAUCCUGGCUCAGAAUCAACGCUGGCGGCGCGCUUAACACAUGCAAGUCGCACGAGAAAGGGAGCAAUCCUAAGUAAAGUGGCGCACGGGUGAGUAACACGUGGAUCAUCUACCUUUUAGUGGGGAAUACCUCUGGGAAACCGGAGACAAUACCGCAUAAGCCUGUAAAGGGAAAGCAGCAAUGCGCUGAAAGAGGAGUCCGCGGCCGAUUAGCUAGUUGGCGGGGUAAUGGCCCACCAAGGCGAAGAUCGGUAGCCGGCCUGAGAGGGCACACGGCCACACUGGCACUGAAACACGGGCCAGACUCCUACGGGAGGCAGCAGUGGGGAAUCUUGCACAAUGGGCGAAAGCCUGAUGCAGCGACGCCGCGUGAGCGAUGAAGCCCUUCGGGGUGUAAAGCUCUUUCGACGGGAACGAUAAUGACGGUACCCGGAGAAGAAGCUGCGGCUAACUACGUGCCAGCAGCCGCGGUAAUACGUAGGCAGCGAGCGUUGUUCGGAAUUACUGGGCGUAAAGAGUGUGUAGGCGGUGUUCCCAGUCUGUUGUGAAAUCUCCCGGCUUAACUGGGAGGGUGCAGCGGAAACUAGAAUGCUAGAGGGUGGGAGAGGUAAGCGGAAUUCCUGGUGUAGCGGUGAAAUGCGUAGAUAUCAGGAGGAACACCUGGUGUAGACAGCUUACUGGACCACUUCUGACGCUGAGACACGAAAGCGUGGGUAGCAAACAGGAUUAGAUACCCUAGUAGUCC